rnacentral:lncRNA from 1 species
CCAGUCUCUGUUCCUGUGUGCCCUGCUGCUCUUCUGGCUGUGCGUGUAUCAUGGGAUACGGGUCCAGGUAAGCAGACAGACAGAGCUUCAGAAUAUGGUCCCACGAGAUGGUCUCUGGCCCACGCUGCAGAGCAGGGACAAGAUGUGUGGAAGCGUUUGGGGUUUCUGCAUGUCUGUUAGAAUAAGACACUGUUUGCUGUAUAUCUUACUUUUUUCCUACUGUUUGUUUUUAGGGAGAGAGAAAAUGUUUAACUUUCUAUUUGCCUAAGUUCUUCAUCGUUGGACUGCUGUGGCUGGCUUCUGUCACGCUGGGAAUAUGGCAGACGUGAGUAACGCAACGCUUCUGGGUGUGAAACGUCAGCCCUGGAAAGUGCUGACAACAGAGGGCAGGCUGAAUCUGCCUGCCCUGCCAUCUCACCCAGAAGACAGCUUCUGCCCAGCAUAGUCACAUAACUGGAUCCAAGGAAUUGGGCUUGGCUUGUGUGGCUUGCAGUAAAGGGGUCUUCUAGCCUAAGUAGAAGGUGAGAACGCCUGUGUCAUCGUAACCUUCUUCAGCAAGAAAUGACUCGGUUUGCUGGGACAGCAGACAUGCUGCGAUCCCCUCAUGCACCUCAGACACUCUGAUCCUUGCAGAGCUUCAGGCUUGACCCUGCUUAGAGUCACGUGACCCUGCUUAGACUGCCGUGAUCCUAGUUAGACCCACAUCCCUUUCUGUGACUAACUGCUUCCAGGCCUGUGUAGCACUGCCCAGCUCCUCAGAGACCCUGCUCAGCCCCUGAUCAGCGUGGUUGGUCUGUGGCUUUUCAUGCGUCUUUCGUGCCACCGUGGCCUGAUGCGUUCUGCAGCAUCCCUGCCACAUGCCACUUACUUCCCUGAAGCUCAGGUCCCAUGCCAAUGCUAAUUCUGACAUUUAAGCUCAUGCACUUUAUAGUUACUUAUUAUCUAUUUGGCUUGCUUUGCCUUCGUCUAUCUCACAUGUCUGGGUAUGCCAUUGAAAUAGCCCCUGGGGCUGGAGAGAUGGCUCCGUUAAGCGUACUCUUCCAGAGGACUCAAGUGUACUCCCAGCUCCCAUGUCAGGUGGCUUAGAACCACCUAUGACUCCUCUAGGGGAGCCUACAGCUCUGGGCUCCAGCGUCACCUGCACUCAUGUGCACACAGCACUCACAGAAACACAAUGAGCAAAAGAUAAGCCUUAGCUACAUAAGGCAUAAAUAACCCUGCCCCUUCGCCACACUGAUGAGCAUGGACACAGUAGGCAUGUUCCCUUGCCGGCUUAGUGCUGGAUGCUUUCUCAGUGUAUAAUACAGGAUUGCUAUUUUAAAAUCCUCCAGUGGUUGUACCAAGUGCUAUACAAGC